rnacentral:rRNA from 1 species
UCAAGCUACACACGGCUUAUGGUGGAUGGCUUGGCUGGUGCAGGCGAUGAAGGGCGUGGCAAGCUGCGAUAAGCUGCGGGGAGGCGCAAGCAGCCUUUGAUCCGCAGAUCCCCCAAUGGGGAAACCCAUCCAGGGUAAUGCCUGGAUAUCCCGACGUUACGUCGGGAGGCUAACCCGGGGAAGUGAAACAUCUCAGUACCCGGAGGAAAAGAAACCGAAUGGGAUUCCCCCAGUAGCGGCGAGCGAAAAGGGAAGAGCCUAAACCCAAAGAGUGUUAAAGCCUGCCGGCAUUGCUCUUUGGGGGUCGCGGGACAUUACUGGAAGAGGCGGCAGACUCUUCGGGAAGUUACCAAACUUACCUCUAGCCGAAUCCGCUGGAAAGCGGAGCCAUAGAAGGUGAAAGCCCUGUAAGUUAAAGAGGUAAGUCUUCCUGGGUAAUGUUCCCAAGUACCAUGGGGCACGGGAAACCCUGUGGGAAUUUGGGCCGACCACGGUCUAAGGCUAAAUACUCGCACCAGACCGAUAGUGCACUAGUACCGUGAGGGAAAGCUGAAAAGAACCCCGGUGAGGGGAGUGAAAUAGAACCUGAAACCAUAAGCUUACACAGCGGUCGGAGUCCCGACGUUACGUCGGGAUGACGGCGUACCUUUUGCAUAAUGGUCCAGGGAGUUACUGUCUAUAGCGAGUCUAACCCCGACAUAACGUCGGGGGGAGGCGUAGGGAAACCGAGUCCUAAAAAGGCGUGUAGCUGUAGGCAGUAGACCCGAAGCCAGUCGAUCUACCCAUGGCCAGGGUGAAGUCCGCGUGACAGCGGAUGGAGGCCCGAACCGGUGUCGGUUGAAAACGGCUCGGAUGAGCUGUGGGUAGGAGUGAAAGGCUAACCAAGGCUGGUGAUAGCUGGUUCUCCCCGAAAUAGCUUUAGGGCUAGCCUCAAGCGUUUGGUCUAGGGGGUAGAGCACAGGAUGAGCUAGGGUUCCGUAACGGAAUACCAAACUCAACCUAACUCCGAAUACCUAGGCCUUAAGCUUGGGAGUAAGACCAGCAGGGAUAAGCUUGUUGGUCGAGAGGAAAACAGUCCAGACCGUCAGCUAAGGUCCCUAAAAGCAGGCUAAGUGGUAAAGGAUGUGGAGUCACCCAGACAGCCGGGAUGUUGGCUUAGAGGCAGCCAUCAUUUAAAGAGUGCGUAAUAGCUCACCGGUCGAGUGACUCUGCGCCGAAAAUGAUCGGGGCUUAAGCCUGCUACCGAAGCUACGGCCCCGACGUUACGUCGGGGGGUAGGGGAGCAUUCUGUAUGCACUGAAGUCACAUCGUAAGGUGUGGUGGAGCGUACAGAAGAGAGUAUCCUGGAAUGAGUAGCGAAAAAGCCGAUGAAAAAUCGGCUCGCCGAAAGCCUCAGGUCUCUCCGUCAAUGUUACUCAGACGGAGGUUAGGCGGUCCCUAAGCUGAACCCGAAAGGGGUAGGCGAUGGGUAAGGGCGUCAACAUUCGCCCCCCACCUAUAGACGGUAACUUAAGGAGUGACGCACUAAGUGCGGUAGGCGGACGGUUGGAUGUGUCCGUCCCCCGACAUUACCUCGGGGGGGAGCCCAAGCUACGGCGCGGGCGAAGUUACCUGAACUUAGUGCCAAGAAAUAGCUUCUUAAGUUGUCUAUAGGUGACCGUACCGUAAACCGACACAGGUAGGCUGCCAGAGUAUGGUAAGGCGCUCGGCAGAAACCUCCCUAAGGAACUCGGCAAUCUAGCCCCGUACGUUCGCAAGAAGGGGUCCCCGACGUUACGUCGGGGCGCAGUGAAAUGGCUCCCGGGACUGUUUAGCAAAAACACAGGUCCCUGCUUAACUCGAAAGAGGAUGUAUAGGGACUGAGACCUGCCCAGUGCCGGAAGGUUAAGGGGAGGGGUUAUCCCGACGUUACGUCGGGAAAAGCUCCGAACCGAAGCCCCGGUGAACGGCGGCCGUAACUAUAAUUUGACCGUUGUAGUUACGCAAAUAAACCUGGCUAUAUGCGGGGAAGUCCGGUUAGUAUUUCUAGCUACCCCGAUAGAAUAUCGGGGUAACAAUGCUAGAAUGCGGACUAUCCGCAGGGAAGAUUCUUUUGAAGAUGCCCUUCCUUGGAUUAGAAGGAGGGGAAUAUGCAGAAGAUAAGAGUUAACCCCAAAAUAGGAUGGUAUCUUGCUGGUUUUGCAGAUGGAGAGGGUUCUUUCAAUGUGGUAUUUAGACCUCGAAAGAAUUACAAACUUCCCUGGAAGAUUUCUUUGUGUUUUAACAUUUCUCAAAGAGAUAAGAUAAUUCUUACCUUGUUUAAACGCUAUUUGGGUUGUGGAACAUUACGGCAGAGACAAGAUGGUGUUUGGUACUAUGAGGUUAAUAAUCUUACAGCGAUAAUUGAAAAAGUUAUUCCCUUUUUUGAAAAGUUUAGAUUUCUCUCAGCAAAGAAAAAAAGAGAUUUUUCCAAGUUUAAAAAAAUUGCUUCUCUUGUAAGUAACAAUAAACAUUUUACUCCUGAGGGAAUAAGAGAAAUUCUAAAAAUACGCAGAGAUAUGAAUGAUGGAGGAAAGCGAAAAUAUGAGGAAGAGGUAAUUUUAAAACAUCUUCAAGAGAAUCCCCUCAGAGACCAUACGCCAGGCUCUACUCAAGCCUAGGUUCUCAGAUGAUGGGAAUAUGUCGCCUUGCUUGGGAGAGAAGAUAUGGUCCAAACUUGGUGGCGACACCAAGGUUCUCCUGAAAGGAGAACACCCUUCUUAAAAAUGAAGG